rnacentral:rRNA from 1 species
UGGGGAAUAUUGCACAAUGGGCGCAAGCCUGAUGCAGCCAUGCCGCGUGUAUGAAGAAGGCCUUCGGGUUGUAAAGUACUUUCAGCGAGGAGGAAGGCGUUGUGGUUAAUAACCGCAACGAUUGACGUUACUCGCAGAAGAAGCACCGGCUAACUCCGUGCCAGCAGCCGCGGUAAUACGGAGGGUGCACGCGUUAAUCGGAAUUACUGGGCGUAAAGCGCACGCAGGCGGUCUGUCAAGUCGGAUGUGAAAUCCCCGGGCUCAACCUGGGAACUGCAUCCGAAACUGGCAGGCUAGAGUCUUGUAGAGGGGGGUAGAAUUCCAGGUGUAGCGGUGAAAUGCGUAGAGAUCUGGAGGAAUACCGGUGGCGAAGGCGGCCCCCUGGACAAAGACUGACGCUCAGGUGCGAAAGCGUGGGGAGCAAACA